rnacentral:rRNA from 1 species
UACGUAGGGUGCAAGCGUUGUCCGGAAUUAUUGGGCGUAAAGAGCUCGUAGGCGGUCUGUCGCGUCGGCUGUGAAAACCCGGGGCUCAACCCCGGGCCUGCAGUCGAUACGGGCAGACUAGAGUGCGGUAGGGGAGACUGGAAUUCCUGGUGUAGCGGUGAAAUGCGCAGAUAUCAGGAGGAACACCGGUGGCGAAGGCAGGUCUCUGGGCAGUAACUGACGCUGAGGAGCGAAAGCAUGGGGAGCGAACAGG